AGCGAACGCUGGCGGCGUGCUUAACACAUGCAAGUCGAGUGCGCAGUUUUCUGUAGCAAUACAGGAGAUGGGCGCACGGCGCACGGGUGCGUAACACGUGGGCAAUCUGCCCUCGGAUGGGGGAUAACCCCGCGAAAGCGGGGCUAAUACCGCAUGACAUUCCGAAGACCACGGUCUUUGGACUCAAAGCCCGCAAGGGCGUCUGAGGAGGAGCCCGCGCCCGAUUAGCUAGUUGGUGAGGUAACGGCUCACCAAGGCAAUGAUCGGUAG
rnacentral:rRNA from 1 species